AGGACGAACGCUGGCGGCGUGCUUAACACAUGCAAGUCGAGCGGAAAGGCCACUUCGGUGGUACUCGAGCGGCGAACGGGUGAGUAACACGUGAGUAAUCUGCCCUUCACUUGGGGAUAACCUCCGGAAACGGUGGCUAAUACCCGAUACGACCUCCGAUCGCAUGAUCUGGUGGUGGAAAGUUUUUUCGGUGGGGGAUGUGCUCGCGGCCUAUCAGCUUGUUGGUGGGGUAAUGGCCUACCAAGGCUUCGACGGGUAGCCGGCCUGAGAGGGUGACCGGCCACACUGGGACUGAGACACGGCCCAGACUCCUACGGGAGGCAGCAGUGGGAAAUCUGCGCAAUGGGCGAAAGCCUGACGCAGCCAUGCCGCGUGAAUGAUGAAGGUCUUAGGAUUGUAAAAUUCUUUCAACCGGGAAGAUAAUGACGGUACCGAGAAGAACGCCCGGCUAACUCGUGCCAGCAGCCGC
rnacentral:rRNA from 1 species